UCCGGAGCGCGCAAGUGUUGCUCGGAAUUACUGGGCGUAAAGCGCGUGCAGGCGGUAGAGUAAGUCGGUUGUGAAAUCCCCAGGCUCAACCUGGGAACUGCAUCCGAAACUGCUCGGCUAGAGUCCCGGAGAGGGAGGCGGAACUCCCAGUGUAGGGGUGAAAUCCGUAGAUAUUGGGAAGAACACCGGCGGCGAAAGCGGCCUCCUGGACGGUGACUGACGCUGAGACGCGAAAGCGUGGGGAGAAAACAGG
rnacentral:rRNA from 1 species